GACAGAGGGUGCAAACGUUGUUCGGAAUUACUGGGCGUAAAGCGCGUGUAGGCGGCAGGGCAUGUCGGAUGUGAAAUCCCUCGGCUCAACCGAGGAACUGCAUCCGAUACUGGCGGGCUUGAAUCCGGGAGAGGGAUGUGGAAUUCCGGGUGUAGCGGUGAAAUGCGUAGAUAUCCGGAGGAACACCGGUGGCGAAGGCGGCUUCCUGGACCGACACUGACGCUGAGGCGCGAAAGCUAGGGGAGCAAACGGGG
rnacentral:rRNA from 1 species